AAGGAAGCCUGCACAGCCAGUUCUUCCUCCUCUCUGGAGUCAGCAAGUAAUUUCAAUCUGAGCAAGGACCUUCACAUUAACUUCAAAAUUUUACUAUCUCCAAUAGCUCUAUAAAGCUGGAUAAAACGUUGCUUACCACUGUGGGGAAUCAAAGCCACUUUAGCCACUUCUCAAAAACAUUGUGGGGAGGAAUCAUAGCUCAGUGGAAGAGCUCCUGCUUUGCAUGUGGAAGAUCCCAGGUUCAAACCCAGUUAACAGAAGUAUUGCUUUGCGUACAGAAGAGGAUCUGAUCUGGAUGCAGAAGAUCUCAGACAUCUCCAGGUAGGGCCACGGAAGACCCCUGCCUGAAAGCCUGGAGAACAUUUGGAAAUUUGUUGAGAUUAUUUUGCUGUUAAUAUUAACUCAGAAUAAUUGUAUAGUCUGACAGUGUGCUAAUUGUAUAUUUUUGUACCUUGACGGGUACUCUGUAGUGUGAACCUAUGCUGAAAGAUGGUUUAAAUUAAAAUUAUUAUUAAUAAACAAAUGCUGCAUUAAAAAGUCAUGGUAAAAUAUAUUAGCAUGUACAUAGGACCUUUCACACAUUUUGACUCCUGCUUUUCCUCCAAGCAAUUGAGAACUAUCAGCAGCAUUGCAUUUAAGUACUAGUUAGGUCCUGCUUUCCUAAACCCAUUGUCUUCCUAAAUUAUCCUACAAUGUUUUAAUACAUUAUGGUGAUUAACUUUACAUAUCCAAACAAAUUAUUCCUUGUAUACUUUUCUCUCACACUAAAAUUGUUGUAUUUAGCUUAGUAUCAUUUCAACCUUAUUUAAACAUGGACAUGAUUUGUCAUAAAAAUACAGUUGCUAUAAGAAUCUAAUUGAAACCUGGGUUGCAAUAUUGAAUUCACUAUCAUACUGUAUUUUCAUAAUAAUCUCCAAGCAUUAUGCACAGUUACAACUCAGAUAAUUCAUUAUUAGGGUGAAACUAUACAGUGUUGAACUAUGCUUCACUAUUAUACACAUGCUUUAGUCUAAUAAUCUCACCUGUAAAAACUAGUCAUUGUAUCAAGCAGUUUAAGAGAUUUGGGUAAUUCAUUCCAAGCUGAUGGUCAAGCAUAUGCAAAGAAUAUCUUUCCAAUUUCCAUUUUAAUUGGGGAACAAUAAAAAUUGCAAUUCAUCAAGAAAUCUUAAUGCACUAUUACUUAUUAUGGGCUUCAAAUGGGCACCUUAGAUGCAUUUGCGUAUUUGUAAUAGAAGGACCUUGCUCUGACUUUUAGCUUUCAGCCGAAUGUAUUCAAUGUUUUCAUAGGUUUUACAGUGAGGUUUAUUAUUAUUAUCUUCAGGAGCAGCACCCACAGUAAAAUUAUAUAAUCUAUUAAGGGGACAGAUGUGGAACUUAUAGAUGUGGAACUUAGUGAAAUUAAUUUUAUAGGCUGCAGUAUUCCCUCAGCUCUGUUUGAAAGGUUUCUUCAGAGGAAAAAAGAAUAGUAUCAUUACUUUUGGAUGAAUGUGCCUCCAUGCAAUUCUAUGGAAAAAGACUACACUUGAAACUAUAGUAUUUUGUCUUCCUUUUGUGUUUGAGCUCAGAAUAAAUAUAUGAAUAUCA